AACUUUUGGCAAUGGAUCUCUUGGUUCUCGCAUCGAUGAAGAACGCAGCGAAUUGCGAUAUGUAACGUGAAUUGCAGAAUUCAGUGAAUCAUCGAAUCUUUGAACGCACCUUGCGCCCUUUGGUAUUCCGAAGGGCAUGCCUGUUUGAGUGUCAUUAAAUUCUCAACUUUGACGGGACUUUUUGUGUCUUCGAAGCUUGGACCUUGGAGGCCUGCUGGUGUCAUUGCCAGCUCCUCUCAAAUGCAUUAGCGGAACUAUGAGGACCGGCUUUGGUUUGAUAAUCGUAUCUAUGCCGCUGCUGUGAAUCCUUUCUGUUCAGCUUCUAAUGGUCUUCGGACUGUCUCCUUGUGAGGCAUACACUAUUUAAGCUUGACCUCAAAUCAGGUAGGACUACCCGCUGAACUUAAGCAUAUCAAUAAGCGGAGGAU
rnacentral:misc_RNA from 1 species